UACGGAGGGAGCAAACGUUGUUCGGAUUUACUGGGUGUAAAGGGUGCGUAGGCGGCCCUGUGUGUCAGAGGUGAAAUCCCACGGCUCAACCGUGGAAUUGCCUUUGAAACUGCAGGGCUUGAGUCCGAGAGGGGAAGGUGGAAUUCCUGGUGUAACGGUGAAAUGUGCAGAUAUCAGGAAGAACACCCGUGGCGAAGGCGGCCUUCUGGCUCGGAACUGACGCUGAGGCACGAAAGCUAGGGUAUCGAACGGG
rnacentral:rRNA from 1 species